rnacentral:rRNA from 1 species
GACGAACGCUGGCGGCGUGCUUAACACAUGCAAGUCGAACGGAAAGGCCCUGCUUUUGUGGGGUGCUCGAGUGGCGAACGGGUGAGUAACACGUGAGUAACCUGCCCUUGACUUUGGGAUAACUUCAGGAAACUGGGGCUAAUACCGGAUAGGAGCUCCUGCUGCAUGGUGGGGGUUGGAAAGUUUCGGCGGUUGGGGAUGGACUCGCGGCUUAUCAGCUUGUUGGUGGGGUAGUGGCUUACCAAGGCUUUGACGGGUAGCCGGCCUGAGAGGGUGACCGGCCACAUUGGGACUGAGAUGCGGCCCAGACUCCUACGGGAGGCAGCAGUGGGGAAUAUUGCACAAUGGGCGGAAGCCUGAUGCAGCAACGCCGCGUGCGGGAUGACGGCCUUCGGGUUGUAAACCGCUUUCGCCUGUGACGAAGCGUGAGUGACGGUAAUGGGUAAAGAGGCACCGGCUAACUACGUG